rnacentral:rRNA from 1 species
GACGAACGCUGGCGGCGUGCUUAACACAUGCAAGUCGAACGGUGAAGGGACCGGUUUUUGCUGGUUCUGGAUGAGUGGCGAACGGGUGAGUAACACGUGAGUAACCUGCCCCCCUCUUCUGGAUAACCGCAUGAAAGUAUGGCUAAUACGGGAUAUUCUGCGCCUGCUGCAUGGUGGGUGUGGGAAAGAUAUUGUUUCGGUGGGGGAUGGGCUCGCGGCCUAUCAGCUUGUUGGUGGGGUGAUGGCCUACCAAGGCGGUGACGGGUAGCCGGCCUGAGAGGGUGGACGGUCACACUGGGACUGAGACACGGCCCAGACUCCUACGGGAGGCAGCAGUGGGGAAUAUUGCACAAUGGGCGCAAGCCUGAUGCAGCGACGCCGCGUGAGGGAUGGAGGCCUUCGGGUUGUAAACCUCUUUCGCCAGUGAAGCAGGCCUGUCCCUUUUGUGGGUGGGUUGACGGUAGCUGGAUAAGAAGCGCCGGCUAACUACGUG